GAGUAGAGGUUGCGUUGAUCAUGAGUAGGAGGCCGGAUGUGGCAGGCACAGGCGAAGGCUUUUGAAAGGGAGAAACGCCGAAGGAAAAGUGUUUCCUGCAGCGCUUUUUCUGGGCUCAGGGUGAAAAACCCUGUGACUGUCAUCCAGAGGUGGAUGGAGAGCUACCAGA
rnacentral:ncRNA from 1 species